GAUCCUGGCUCAGGAUGAACGCUGGCGGCGUGCCUAACACAUGCAAGUCGACGAAGCAUCCGCAUGGAGUUCUCCGGAAAUGAAGCGCGGAUGACUGAGUGGCGGACGGGUGAGUAACGCGUGGGCAACCUGCCCCGUACCGGGGGACAACAGCCGGAAACGGCUGCUAAUACCGCAUGAUCCCGCGGGGCCGCAUGGCCCUGCGGGGAAAGCUCCGGCAGUACGGGAUGGGCCCGCGUCUGAUUAGCUUGUUGGCGGGACAGAAGCCCACCAAGGCGACGAUCAGUAGCCGGCCUGAGAGGGCGGCCGGCCACAUUGGGACUGAGACACGGCCCAGACUCCUGCGGGAGGCAGCAGUGGGGGAUAUUGCACAAUGGGGGGAACCCUGAUGCAGCGACGCCGCGUGGGCGAUGAAAUGCCUCGGCAUGUAAAGCCCUGUCGGCAGGAAGGAAAAUGACAGUACCUGAACAAGAAGCCCCGGCUAACUACGUG
rnacentral:rRNA from 1 species